AAAUACUGCUGGAAACAGUCUAAUACAGUCAAGAUUGAAUUUUUUUUUUUUUUUUUAUUUUAUGCCACUUUCUAUCAAAUAAAAUAUCAAGCGAUGACAGUUGCAAAGACGAUCAUCAGAUGCUCGUGAAAGAUUGUCCUAUGGACUAGAAAUAUUUUAUAUGAAUAUUUUAUAAAUAUUCAUGUAGAUAUUGACAGCCUGGUCCGGAAUUCCUGAAAUCUGAGAGAUGAGAUCUGAAAUGGAUUCCUGAUCUUAAGAUCUUUUUUUCAUUUCUUAGAAGAUAUUAUUUGCUUGCCAAAGAAUUGCUUUAGUUUUGGAUCUCACAUUUCCAGAUUUUCAAGAAGAGGUGUGUUUCUGAUCCGUUGAAUACCAUUUUUCAACAUAUCGGUUGAUCCCGCCAUGUGUGUUGGCCAGCCAAUAGCAGAAUCUAAUAGUGACCGCCUCCAAUACUAUUUCUGAGUGAUUUGGCGGUUUAAAACCAACUAUAAUACAAAAUAUGUUUUAAUUAAUGGCCUAAUUACACAAAUCUCAUUUUAGUAUAUCGUGGGCACUGAAUUAGGCAUUUAAUCUUGGGCUGCUUUCUAUCUAUUUAAGAUUCUCAUUUCUAGAGCCCAUCAUCAAUCAACCCCAUAAUAAUGGUGUUUGUUUUAACGCCACCUCUCAAUAAUUCAUUCAUAAUAUCAGGAUUGAACGAGAUGAAAAAGGGAGAACAUGGGUUGGAUUUGGAAUCGAUUCCUGAUUCUUCAGAUAUCAAACAAAUUCUGUAUCAGUUGUCACGUGAAAGAUUGGUUGAAAUAUGCUGCUCCUCAGAGGAAUAUCCUCUGAAACUUAGAUAUAUAUAUUAUGACGGCAGUUAUUUCGAGUCAACUACGAAUUGGCCAAUACUAUAUUGGAGUCGACCAAAGAGUUGAAAAUUGGAAAUUAGCAAGGAACUAAGCCAUGAAAAUUUUUGAAACUCUGAUUCAAUCCAGAAUUUUAGAUAAUUGUCUGAUGUUUCCAAUGCAGUUGAUCGAUGUUGAAUGUCAUUAUAAGUUAUUGCACGUAAAACAAAUUGGAAGAAUUGACAGAUCUUUUACUUUUUGAAUUUACAAAUAUGAUAAGAAUUAAGGCUGUAUUCCACUUGGCUGCUUUCAGCGGUAGCGGCCAGCGGUAGCCGUCGACGCUUAACGGCAAACCAAUUCCACUAUAAAAUGCAUCGCAGCGGUAGUGA
rnacentral:lncRNA from 1 species